rnacentral:rRNA from 1 species
GGAUUAGAUACCCUGGUAGUCCACGCUGUAAACGAUGGGUACUAGACGUAGGGGGAGUAAUUCCCUUUGUGUCGCAGCUAACGCAAUCAGUACCCCGCCUGGGGAGUACGGCCGCAAGGUUAAAACUCAAAGGAAUUGACGGGGGCCCGCACAAGCGGUGGAGCAUGUGGUUCAAUUCGAUGCAACGCGAAAAACCUUACCUGCCCUUGACAUCCUCGGAACUUGGCAGAGAUGCCUUGGUGCCUUCGGGAACCGAGUGACAGGUGCUGCAUGGCUGUCGUCAGCUCGUGCCG